rnacentral:rRNA from 1 species
CAAUAGCGUAUAUUAAAGUUGUUGCAGUUAAAAAGCUCGUAGUUGGAUUUCUGGUUGAAGCGACCGGUCGGGCGUUGAUUCGUCUGCACUGGAGUCGGUUUUGGCCAUCCUCUAGGAAAGUGCGUCUGGUAUUAAGUUAUCGGGCGUAUGAUCCUGGUCUUUUACUGUGAAAAAAUUAGAGUGUUUAAAGCAGGCCUUCGCCUUGAAUACAUUAGCAUGGAAUAAUAAGAUAGGACUUUGGUCUAUUUUGUUGGUUUGCAGACCGAAGUAAUGAUUAAUAGGGAUAGUUGGGGGUGUUUAUAUUCCGAUGUCAGAGGUGAAAUUCUUAGAUUUUCGGAAGAUAAACUUAUGCGAAAGCAUUUACCAAGGAUGUUUNCAUUA